rnacentral:rRNA from 1 species
AGUGAACGCUGGCGGCGUGCCUAACACAUGCAAGUCGAACGAUGAUAGGAAGCUUGCUUCCUUGAUUAGUGGCGCACGGGUGAGUAAUGCAUAGAUAAUGUGCCCCUUAGUUCGGGAUAGCCACUGGAAACGGUGAUUAAUACCGGAUACUCCUUCUCGUUAUAAGACGAGUCGGGAAAGUUUUUCGCUAAGGGAUCAGUCUAUGUUCCAUCAGCUUGUUGGUGAGGUAAUGGCUCACCAAGGCUAUGACGGAUAUCUGGUUUGAGAGGAUGAUCAGACACACUGGAACUGAGACACGGUCCAGACUCCUACGGGAGGCAG